GAUGAACGCUGGCGGCGUGCCUAAUACAUGCAAGUCGAGCGAACAGACGAGGAGCUUGCUCCUCUGACGUUAGCGGCGGACGGGUGAGUAACACGUGGGUAACCUACCUAUAAGACUGGGAUAACUUCGGGACACCGGAGCUACUACCGGAUAAUAUCUUAAACCGCAUGGUUCACUAGUGAAAGACGGUUUUGCUGUCACUUAUAGAUGGAUCCGCGCCGCAUUAGCUAGUUGGUAAGGUAACGGCUUACCAAGGCAACGAUGCGUAGCCGACCUGAGAGGGUGAUCGGCCACACUGGAACUGAGACACGGUCCAGACUCCUACGGGAGGCAGCAGUAGGGAAUCUUCCGCAAUGGGCGAAAGCCUGACGGAGCAACGCCGCGUGAGUGAUGAAGGUCUUCGGAUCGUAAAACUCUGUUAUUAGGGAAGAACAAAUGUGUAAGUAACUAUGCACGUCUUGACGGUACCUAAACAGAAAGCCACGGCUAACUACGUG
rnacentral:rRNA from 1 species